ACCCGCUUGAAAUUCUCCGAGUAACAUUUUCUACAUAGAAUCUCUACAGGCCUAAGGAUGUUGGCUCUUCUGGUCUUGUUCAACCAACAUGGAUGUCCUUCCAUCUUCUCAGCCAGAUAUCUGUUUCAUGAAAAUGAGAAGCAGAAGAAAAGGAAUGGAGUGCAAAUUAGUUGGGUCACUCAGAUCUUAGGAUAGCGAAGGGGGAUAAAAAGCUGUCAUCUUGGCAAUGGUGACUUCAGGAUCAACAUUAAAAGGUUUGUUUCCACAAUAUAUCUUGAAACAGCAACCAGAGAUGAAUACAUCUGUGAAGAAUACAACCAACCCAAUGGACCAACCCAACCAAUUGAUCAACUAGUCAACCCAACCAACCCAACCCAACCAACCAACCAACCAACCACAGAAGCAAGAAAAGUUCAGUGUGUUCCAUACAUUUAGAGAUACAUCUCUUUGUACACCAUUGAGGGGAAAUAUUGAGUUGUUAGAUUGGAGUUCCAGCAUCAAUAGCUGGCCACGAUGCAGAACUGCCCCAGAAUUGAUGGCCCCUGGGAAAGGAUCUUAAGAAAGAUUUGUGGUGAAGAUGAAGAAAUCUGAGAUUAGAAAAGCCACAAUGGGUUUGUAAUACAGGAAAAAAACAACCCACCUUUUAAAGAAUCUAAAUCAGGAGUCUUCAAACUUGACAGCUUUAAGACUUGUGGACUUCAACUCCCAGAAUUCCUCCUCCAGUCAUGUUAGCUCAGGAAUUCUGGAAGUUGAAGUCCACAAGUCUUAAACUUGCCAAGUUUGAAGAGCCUUGGUCUAUCUCAACCCAUUGAGAACUAUUGUUCUGACAGAGACAUCUGACUGGGCCUGCAAGGACCCAAAUUUUAAUGGACCAAUUUCUUAUUUCUGAAGAUAGUCUCCCUCACAAGGUUGCUAUUGUGGGAAUAAAAUUAGGGGAGACUCCUGUGUAAACUGCUUUGAGAUUCCCCGAGAAAAGAAGGAUUAAAAAUAACAGUAAAAGAAAAUGGAGAAAAGAAUGUGACAGCUUUAGCAAAAUGUUGGUGAAAAGAGAACAGAUAGUUCUCAACUUACAACGGUUCAUUUAGUGACU